rnacentral:rRNA from 1 species
GAUGAACGCUGGCGGCGUGCUUAACACAUGCAGGUCGAACGGAAAGGCCCUGCUUUUGUGGGGUGCUCGAGUGGCGAACGGGUGAGUAACACGUGAGUAACCUGCCCUUGACUUUGGGAUAACUUCAGGAAACUGGGGCUAAUACCGGAUAGGAGCUCCUGCUGCAUGGUGGGGGUUGGAAAGUUUCGGCGGUUGGGGAUGGACUCGCGGCUUAUCAGCUUGUUGGUGGGGUAGUGGCUUACCAAGGCUUUGACGGGUAGCCGGCCUGAGAGGGUGACCGGCCACAUUGGGACUGAGAUACGGCCCAGACUCCUACGGGAGGCAGCAGUGGGGAAUAUUGCACAAUGGGCGGAAGCCUGAUGCAGCAACGCCGCGUGCGGGAUGACGGCCUUCGGGUUGUAAACCGCUUUCGCCUGUGACGAAGCGUGAGUGACGGUAAUGGGUAAAGAAGCACCGGCUAACUACGUG